rnacentral:tRNA from 1 species
GGGCUUAUAGUUCAGUCGCAGAGCAUUUGACUGCAAGAGGUCGCCGGUUCGAACCCGAUUGGGCCUU